UACGGAGGGGGCUAGCGUUGUUCGGAAUUACUGGGCGUAAAGCGCGCGUAGGCGGCUUUGUAAGUUAGAGGUGAAAGCCCGGAGCUUAACUCCGGAACUGCCUUUAAGACUGCAUCGCUUGAAUCCGGGAGAGGUGAGUGGAAUUCCGAGUGUAGAGGUGAAAUUCGUAGAUAUUCGGAAGAACACCAGUGGCGAAGGCGGCUCACUGGACCGGUAUUGACGCUGAGGCGCGAAAGCGUGGGGAGCAAACAGG
rnacentral:rRNA from 1 species